rnacentral:rRNA from 1 species
GACGUAGGGCGCGAGCGUUGUCCGGAUUUAUUGGGCGUAAAGAGCUCGUAGGCGGCUCGUUGCGUCGGCUGUGAAAACCCGCAGCUUAACUGUGGGCCUGCAGCCGAUACGGGCGGGCUGGAGUUCGGUAGGGGAGACUGGAAUUCCUGGUGUAGCGGUGAAAUGCGCAGAUAUCAGGAGGAACACCGAUGGCGAAGGCAGCUCGCUGGGACGGUACUGACGCUGAGACGCGAAAGCGUGGGGAGCAAACAGG